CUGGCAACUCAUGUGGUUAGUUAGCUCUCCUAUGGUGUCUUGAUUUUUCUUCCUAUGUAAGAGUAAGAUACGUCUUUCCAUUUUCUACCGUGGCUCAGCCUAACCUGACUGAAGUAUUUCUUACACUUGUGUUUAUGCAGGUGCAGGGUAAAGGUCAGAGAAUGGUGCUCGGUUUUCUCCUUCUACCACCCGGCUCUGGGGAUGGAGCUCAGGCCAGCAGGCUCGGCAACUAACACCUUAACCUGCUCAGCCAUUUCAAUGGCUCUGACUUGUUUGUAUUAAAUCAAAAGGUGUGCGAUUGUGCCAGGUGUGGUGGUGUACGACUUUAAUCCCAGCACUCAGGAGGCAGAAGCAAGCAGAUCUCUGAGUUCAAGGCCAGCCUGGUCUAAAGACUGAGUUUCAGGACAGCCAGUGCUACACAGAGAAACCGUCUAUCCUGAGAAACCCUGUCUCAAAAAACAAACAAAAAGGCCUGGCAGGCUUUGCUGUUGCAUGUCAUCUGCACAUCACACUUCUCACUGGAUCCAUUCUGACAUUCAAUCCUUUAAGCUUCCAGUGGCUUUGGUAGACAGCCUGAGGCAGCUGAAGUCUCGUCUCACGUGUGUUCAAGGUUCCUGGUGCCAGUGAGCAGGCGCAGGUGGGAGCCUUGGAGCUGUCCUUCUCAGCAUUCCAGCUUCUCAUGAGGAGGGCCAGUCAACACCCCAUGGCUACCCAGCUCCCUUGGUAAACUUGGGUAUAGGGCCAGUCAACACCCCAUGGCUACCCUGCUCUCUUGGUAAACUUGGGUAUAGCAGGACUUCAUGCCGA